CAGAGACAGAGUGUAGCAACAUUGGAGUAGUUAGAACGGGAUGAAGGGGGCGGGCGCGGGGAGGGGGGCAGCCAAGAAAAGGGGGAAGUUCGAACGAAAGUUAAGUAUAUUUCAGGAGCUCUCGGCCAUAUAUAUGUAUAGGAACCUUUCUACCUAUCAACAGAGGAGUGAAACACGAGGAAGUUCGGGACGACGGGAAAUUCACUAAAAAUACGUACGAUCGUUGGCGCUUGACUACUGCGUUCAACAAAACACCUACUACUCCUUUAUUGUUUCAUACCACAGACAAGACUAACAAUGGGGGAGGGGGGGAUACUAGUUAGAAUCAUUCUAAUCAAAAAAAAAAAAAAAGGAAGAAAAAGAAAAAAAAGAAAAAGAAAACGAGAAAAAAAUGAAGGUAAAUAAAGAUCGACAAUUUUUCGAUUUGUCUUAUAAUUAAUUUCUUUCUUUUUCAAUUUAUUACGUCAAGUUUAAAAUCUGAGUUUUUUUAACUCAUGAUUACGUUGUUGAUUAGAAAUAUAUAUAUAUAUAUAUAUAUUUUGAGAUGUGUUGUAACGUUUUCAACAAAAACUUUAACAGUGACAUCUCGCGAGAUUGAUUGAAAACCAAUAUGGCGGUCGCCGUUCGAAAGCAAUGACAUAUUGCUUACGUUGUAUUUAAUUAAUGAAUGAUUUCUCCUCAUCAUACUUUCUCAUUCUCUCUCUCCCUCCCUCCCACCCUCCCGUCCCCCCUCUCUCUCUCCAUGAUUUCAUUCUUGUUAUUUGACACAGGGAAUCUCCGCAAAAAUUAUAUAAUUUGUUAACGUCUUAUCUUAUUAACAGACAUGACAGAAAUAUUUAUACACAUAUAUCAAUAUAUACAAACAAAAUAUCUAUAGAUAUAUAGAAAGAGAAAUAAUUCGAAUGUACUUUUGUUUUCUUCGAUUAGCUCGUUUAAACUAAUAAUUUGUAAUAAACUCGUCGAACUAAUAAUUUGUAUCAAACGUCAUUAUUCAUCCGUGGCGCCAUCGUCAGAUAUCAUUUGAAUCAUUUUUACAAUACAGUUCAUCGACGUGUAAACGAAAAUCUUUUAUAUAUAUGCAUAUAUGUGUAUACACACAUACAUACAUCAUACAUACAUACAUAUAUAUGUAUAUAUAUAUGUAAAUGAAUGUUUUCACAGUUUAACGUGUACUUAUUCAUAUCGUGUUUUGACAAAAGGAAAGUUUUCAGGCUUAUACGGUGUUCUUGAAUGUUUUAAUGUAACCGAUAAGUAACAAUGAAAAUUAUCAUUAAGACAAUAAGAAAUGCACUUUCACAAAAACUUUCAAUUCACAAUUUUAAUUUCUUCGAGUCUUACGAUUAUACAUUAAAUACGGGUUCAGAAACGUAUUUACAAAUGGGUAAUAAUAAUAAAAAAGAAAAAAAAAAUAUAAUAAAAAUAAAAAUACAAAUAAAACAAUAAUUAUUAUGAAUGAAAAAUAAUGUCUAAAUUGUACAACAUAAAAUUGAUUAUGAACUUAUUAUUCAUUAUUUGCAAUAAUUAUUGCGAUUGUUAUAUCAAAUUAUGUGCUUGUUUACAUUUAUAAUACAUUAAUUAUAAUCAAUUAUUAUAUUAUUUUAAAUUCAUAAUAUAUUUAUUAAGCGUUCAUUGAAAAGUCGAUACUGUCAAUUUCCAUUCUUAUAUGAGAAUAAUUUAGAUACAAGAUGUCACAUUGUAGCGUCCAUUUUCAAAGAAUAUUUGAUGAAAUAAAUGUAUACAUUAAAUUACGUAUAACAUAAAAAA